GUAGGAUGUUGAGCGAUCAAGCUCAGCGGUUUUGUAAACCGAAGGUCGGGGGUUCAAUCUCCCUCAUCCGACACCA
rnacentral:tRNA from 1 species